rnacentral:rRNA from 1 species
CAGUAGCCGCGGGAACACGAAGGGUGCAAGCGUUAAUCGGAAUUACUGGGCGUAAAGCGUGCGUAGGCGGUUUGUUAAGUCUGUUGUGAAAUCCCCGGGCUCAACCUGGGAAUGGCAAUGGAUACUGGCAAGCUAGAGUGUGUCAGAGGAUGGUGGAAUUCCCGGUGUAGCGGUGAAAUGCGUAGAGAUCGGGAGGAACAUCAGUGGCGAAGGCGGCCAUCUGGGACAACACUGACGCUGAGGCACGAAAGCGUGGGGAGCAAACAGGAUUAGAUACCCGCGUAGUCCCUGUCUCUUAUAC